AUUGAACGCUGGCGGCAGGCCUAACACAUGCAAGUCGAGCGGAUGACGGGAGCUUGCUCCUUGAUUCAGCGGCGGACGGGUGAGUAAUGCCUAGGAAUCUGCCUGGUAGUGGGGGACAACGUUUCGAAAGGAACGCUAAUACCGCAGACGUCCUACGGGAGAAAGCAGGGGACCUUCGGGCCUUGCGCUAUCAGAUGAGCCUAGGUCGGAUUAGCUAGUUGGUGGGGCAAUGGCUCACCAAGGCGACGAUCCGUAACUGGUCUGAGAGGAGGCACAGUAACAAUGGAACUGAGACACGGUCCAGACUCCUACGGGAGGCAGCAGUGGGGAAUAUUGGACAAUGGGCGAAAGCCUGAUCCAGCCAUGCCGCGUGUGUGAAGAAGGUCUUCGGAUUGUAAAGCACUUUAAGUUGGGAGGAAGGGCAGUAAGUUAAUACCUUGCUGUUUUGACGUUACCGACAGAAUAAGCACCGGCUAACUCUGUGCCAGCCGCCGCCGUAACAC
rnacentral:rRNA from 1 species